AGAGACAGCAGUAGCCGCGGUAAUACGGAGGGUGCAAGCGUUAAUCGGAAUUACUGGGCGUAAAGCGCACGCAGGCGGUUUGUUAAGUCAGAUGUGAAAUCCCCGAGCUUAACUUGGGAACUGCAUUUGAAACUGGCAAGCUAGAGUCUUGUAGAGGGGGGUAGAAUUCCAGGUGUAGCGGUGAAAUGCGUAGAGAUCUGGAGGAAUACCGGUGGCGAAGGCGGCCCCCUGGACAAAGACUGACGCUCAGGUGCGAAAGCGUGGGGAGCAAACAGGAUUAGAUACCCGGGUAGUCCCUGUCUCUUAUAC
rnacentral:rRNA from 1 species